rnacentral:rRNA from 1 species
AUUGAACGCUGGCGGCAUGCCUUACACAUGCAAGUCGAACGGCAGCACGGGUGCUUGCACCUGGUGGCGAGUGGCGCACGGGUGAGUAAUACAUCGGAACAUGUCCUGUAGUGGGGGAUAGCCCGGCGAAAGCCGGAUUAAUACCGCAUACGAUCUACGGAUGAAAGCGGGGGACCUUCGGGCCUCGCGCUUUAGGGUUGGCCGAUGGCUGAUUAGCUAGUUGGUGGGGUAAAGGCCUACCAAGGCGACGAUCAGUAGCUGGUCUGAGAGGACGACCAGCCACACUGGGACUGAGACACGGCCCAGACUCCUACGGGAGGCAGCAGUGGGGAAUUUUGGACAAUGGGCGAAAGCCUGAUCCAGCAAUGCCGCGUGUGUGAAGAAGGCCUUCGGGUUGUAAAGCACUUUUGUCCGGAAAGAAAUCCUUGGCCCUAAUACGGGCGGGUGAUGACGGUACCGGAAGAGUAAGCACCGGCUAACUACGUG